UUUGUGCAUGGCAUUUUCUCCCCCUCCCUCCUUUUUUGACAGUUAACGUCAACUGUCACCAGCUGUCAGUCGUUUUCCUUUUUUGCUCCUCCCCUCACCCUUUACCCCUGUCCUUUUUUUCACUCUACUCCUUGCAAACCUACCAUGUUUUUGGCUGUGCCCUGCCAACUGAAAGGAGGAGUCCGGCCUCCGGAACUCCCAGCAUGCCCCGUGCAAGUGCAUUCUUGUCAGGGGUCUCCUCAUGAGUCGCCAUGGCGCAUAGCCAUGCUGACUCACAAUUGCCAAAAUAGGAAUCUGCAAGCACCUAUUGAAAUUGAUGAUGACCCAAUAGAUUCAGAACAUGAUGAAGUAUAUCUUUAUACAAUUCACUACCAAACUGGGAAAUCCAUGGCUGCAGGAUGUGUUGAGGGUCACUGGACCUCAUCUGACUUUAAAAGAGGAUGAGACAAAUACAUGGAGGAGAGGUUUGACAGAGGACCCUAUUUUCCCAGGCCGCCAACUGACAUCAAUUUUAAAUUGUAAUGUGUGUUUUUAUCUAUAAUGAUUUUUAUCUUUUUAUGCAUUUUAAAUGUUUUAUAUUAUGUUAAUUCUGUACACCACCCAGAGAUAUCUAUACUAGGCGGUAUAUAAAUGCAAUUAUUAUUAUUA